rnacentral:rRNA from 1 species
ACUCCUACGGGAGGCAGCAGUGGGGAAUAUUGCACAAUGGGCGCAAGCCUGAUGCAGCGACGCCGCGUGGGGGAUGACGGCCUUCGGGUUGUAAACCUCUUUCACCAUUGGCGAAGCCGGAAGCUUUUGUUUCUGGUGACGGUAGGUGGAGAAGAAGCACCGGCCAACUACGUGCC